GAAGCCGCUGGCGAAGUCCUCCUCCUGCCCGCGGGCUGGGCGAGGCGGAAGUGGCCGGAGGGCGCUGGGUACCCGGGCUGCGCUUCCCUGAGCUCGCCCGCCCGGGGUGGAUUUGAAGCCCCCGGUUUAUUUUCCAGCUCCUCGUUGGCGAGCAGCAUGACACAAAUGGGCUUUCAUUUUCCUGUAAACCAGAACUGUGCCUGGCACCCAACCGCCUGUACCGACGAGCUCAGCUAGCAGCCACUGGGCCCUUAGUCGUGACCCCGGGGUGACGGGGAUCCCGGCCUUACUCAUCGAGGGCCCCCGGCGGCGUGGCGGGAGCAACAGGGCUAGCAGGACGCUGGCGACGCACACUCGCUGGCUUGAACGGCCGCACCGGGCGGAGUGCGCCCUCGGGAUGGCUUGGGCCGUGCUGCCCGAGGAGCGAGGCUCAUAACGGCCGGAGCGCAGCCGCCCGCGCGACCCAGCUCUUGCCCUUGUGGGCUCGCUCUGGCCGGUGGUGGAGGCCAGCGGGUUAAAGGUCACGUGAGCCGUUUCCUUAGGUGGCUUGGCCUCUGACUGGAGCCACUUGGCCUUUUGAGAAUGACUUAGACUGUCAUCACAGGGUUUAGACGUGCACACCUAGUAGGGAAGUUUAAGUAUUUGAGGGAUAGCCAAGGAUGCCUCUUUAUCUCUCCUCCCUACUCUUAAAGUGUGAAAACGCGCGCACAACACACACACACACACACACACACACACACAGCGCACUCGAACGUUUUAAAGCCCUGAAGGACAGAUUUGCUUCAGUUCUCACUUUUAUUUAUUUAUUUUUUUGAGCAAUAUUAAAUAGGUGUACUUUGUGUGGGAUAGGACGAACAAGAAGCUGGGUGAGAAAGUCAUGCCUAUGGUGACUGAUUUUGACAGAUUUAGAAGGGAUGGCCCUGAGAGGAGAGGAAAAGAGGAUGUUGUGGUCUGGCUACACUGGGGCUGGCUACACUGGGGCGUGGAGGUGUUAAUAGGAAUAGGGCAUGGCGAGUAUAGCUAGGAGAAAGUGACAAGAUAAAGUUGGAGGGGAACGAAGACCCAAACUCAUCUGCACCUUGCAGACAGGAGUUUGGAUUCUCUCCCAAAUGGAGAGCAACGGGGUAUGGUUUAAAAAACAAC
rnacentral:lncRNA from 1 species